GGGGGCGUGAGAGCGCGAUCCCCCACACUGGCACUGAGAUACGGGCCAGACUCCUACGGGAGGCAGCAGUGAGGAAUAUUGCCCAAUGGGCGAAAGCCUGAGGCAGCAACGCCGCGUGGGUGAUGAAGGCCUUCGGGUUGUAAAACCCUUUUCUGGGAGAAGAGAAAGGACGGUAUCCCAGGAAUAAGCGUCGGCUAACUACGUGCCAGCAGCCGCGGUAAAACGUAGGACGCAAGCGUUAUCCGGAUUUACUGGGCGUAAAGAGCGUUGAGGCGGUUCCGUAAGUUGGACGUGAAAGCUCCCGGCUUAACUGGGAGAGGCCGUUCAAUACUGCGGGACUUGAGGACAGCAGAGGGGGGUGGAAUUUCCGGUGUAGUGGUGAAAUGCGUAGAUAUCGGAAGGAACACCAGUGGCGAAGGCGGCCCCCUGGGCUGUUUCUGACGCUGGAGGCGAAAGCUAGGGGAGCAAACGGGAUUAGAAACCCCGGUAGUCCUAGCCGUAAACGAUGGAUACUAGGUGUGGGAGAUGGAAAAGUUUUCCGUGCCGGAGCUAACGCGUUAAGUAUCCCGCCUGGGGAUUACGACCGCAAGGUUAAAACUCAAAGGAAUUGACGGGAGCCCGCACAAGCAGCGGAGCGUGUGGUUUAAUUCGAUGCUACGCGAAGAACCUUACCAGGGUUUGACAUGCAAGUGGUAGUGAAGCGAAAGCGGAACGACCCUUCGGGGAGCUUGCACAGGUGCUGCAUGGCUGUCGUCAGCUCGUGCCGUGAGGUGUUAGGUUAAGUCCUGUAACGAGCGCAACCCCUGCUGUCAGUUAUAUGUGUCUGACAGGACUGCCCGGCUCAACCGGGAGGAAGGUGGGGAUGACGUCAAGUCAGCAUGGCCUUUAUAUCCUGGGCUACACACACGCUACAGUGGCCAGUACAAUGGGUAGCCAAGCCGUGAGGCGGAGCCAAUCCUCCAAAGCUGGUCUCAGUUCGGAUUGUAGGCUGCAACUCGCCUACAUGAAGCUGGAGUUGCUAGUAACCGCAGGUCAGCCACACUGCGGUGAUACGUUCCCGGGCUUUGACACACCGCCCGUCACGUCAUGGGAGUCGGCAACACCUGAAGCCGGUGGGCUAACCGAAAGGAAGCAGCCGUCGAAG
rnacentral:rRNA from 1 species